rnacentral:misc_RNA from 1 species
UUUCCGUAGGUGAACCUGCGGAAGGAUCAUUCAUAAUAUGUGUUUUACUGCACUUUUUAAAAAUAGUACUCACCUUGUGUGCAAUGUUGUGUUUCUUUUCGGAGAAACACCUACACCAACCUAUAACCUUGAACCACUUUGUCUGAAAAACUAUUAUGAAUACUUAAUUCAAAAUAUAACUUUCAACAACGGAUCUCUUGGCUCUC